ACCAGUUGUAACCAUUGAUUAGCUUGGGGUGGUAAACAAAGUCAUAAUCUUUUCCCCAGGUAAAAUUUAGUAAUUAGCGUAUCAUAUCAAUACGCAAAUUAAUAUGCAAUCGAUCUUCAAAAAAAGGCAGGGCGCCCUGGAAACUGUAAAAAGGGCACAGGGCGCCACUCGGAAAAGGGCGGGCGCCGCGCCCUCUGAAAACGGCCUAGCUGGAACACUGAUAUAU
rnacentral:lncRNA from 1 species